rnacentral:misc_RNA from 1 species
GAUGAAGAACGUAGUGAAAUGCGAUACGUAAUGUGAAUUGCAGAAUUCAGUGAAUCAUCGAGUCUUUGAACGCACAUUGCGCCCCCUGGUAUUCCGGGGGGCAUGCCUGUCCGAGCGUCAUUGCUGCCCUCAAGCACGGCUUGUGUGUUGGGCCUCCGUCCUCCUCCCGGGGGACGGGCCCGGAAGGCAGCGGCGGCACCGCGUCCGGUCCUCGAGCGUAUGGGGCUUCGUCACCCGCUCUUGUAGGCCCGGCCGGCGCUUGCCGACACAUCAAUCUUUUUUCCAGGUUGACCUCGGAUCAGGUAGGGAUACCCGCUGAACUUAAGCAUAUCAAUAAGCGGAGGA